UCACAAAAGGUCUCCUCUCUUCUUUCUUACAUGGAAGGUGGUUUUGAUCAAAUCUAAAAGGAAUAAGUUUGGAUUUUGAAUUCUAUGAGAUAUUGUUUUAGAAAUCCAAAACUCUUUCAAUUUUGCACCGAAUUUAUCCAAAUUUAUUUUGGAAUUUUUGUGGCUUUUAGGGUUUAUAUUGUGCAUCUUUUUUUGUUGAUCCAUCCAUGAAAAUAUGAAGGAGGUGCUCAAGAGUUGGGCGUCCCUUUACUUGCCAUGUUUGGAUAAGCCUUGACUAGGUGUUUGACCUAGACAAGGACUCUAUCAUAUCUCUCUAUAUAAGAUGAGUUUCUUUGUGAAAUUUUAGGAGGAGAUAGAGAUUUGAGAGACCUUUGUGCCAUCCAAAAAUCAGAGAGAAAUACCUUUGGGUCGUGGAGAUAUAAAAGAUGCAAGUUUGGGUAUCUAAAGAGAAAAACGUGAAGAAGAAGAGGGUCUUCUUCUUGGGUUUUUGUUUUCACAUCUUUCCUCCCUCCAUCUUGAGUUUCCUGAGAGUGUCUCAGAUCUGAAACUUUUCCUUCUACUUUUCAUCUUUGGAAGAGUCCAAAUCAAAAAGAAGGAGGCACCUGAUCAACCAUCAAAGAAGGAUCAGCGCAGUACUAGCAUACUGUGCUGAUUUUCUGAAGCAGGACUUCUGAUCGAGAUUUGUGGGCUCGUGUGGACGACUCCUAGAGGCCGGAUGCAUGUGUGGCUUGCAACAUCAUCCUCAAGCCCAGAUCAGCAAGGUUAGAACAUCUAACUUGCAAGGUAAUAGAUCUGAUCUAUUAUUUAAUACAUACAUUAGAUGUAGCUAGUAUAGAAACAUGUUGAUAUGAUCAACAUGUAGUUCAUACUAUAUUUAUAUAUAUUUUAAUUUUUGAUUUAAUGCUAUGUAAUAAUCAUGUAAUAGGAUCUUAGAUCUAGGGAUUUUUUGAUCUUAGAAAAUAAAUUUUGAUUUAUUUUAGUCUUCC
rnacentral:lncRNA from 1 species